UACGAAGGGUGCAAGCGUUACUCGGAAUUACUGGGCGUAAAGCGUGCGUAGGUGGUUUGUUAAGUCUGUUGUGAAAGCCCCGGGCUCAACCUGGGAAUGGCAAUGGAUACUGGCAAGCUAGAGUGCGGUAGAGGGUAGUGGAAUUCCCGGUGUAGAGGUGAAAUUCGUAGAUAUUGGGAAGAACACCGGAUGGCGAAGGCAGCCAUCUGGACCGACACUGACGCUGAGGCGCGAAAGCGUGGGGAGCAAACAGG
rnacentral:rRNA from 1 species